UACGGAGGGGGCUAGCGUUGUUCGGAAUUACUGGGCGUAAAGCGCACGUAGGCGGCUUUGUAAGUUAGAGGUGAAAGCCCAGGGCUUAACCCUGGAAUUGCCUUUAAGACUGCAUCGCUAGAAUCGUGGAGAGGUGAGUGGGAUUCCGAGUGUAGAGGUGAAAUUCGUAGAUAUUCGGAAGAACACCAGUGGCGAAGGCGACUCACUGGACACGUAUUGACGCUGAGGUGCGAAAGCGUGGGGAGCAAACAGG
rnacentral:rRNA from 1 species